UAUACAAAAGUGUACAGGGCACAAAAAGUUUUGAUCUUUUAAGGACUGGUGUAAUUCCGGUGUGUAUAU
rnacentral:tRNA from 1 species